AUUGAACGCUGGCGGCAGGCCUAACACAUGCAAGUCGAGCGGAUGAGGAGAGCUUCCUCUCUGAUUUAGCGGCGGACGGGUGAGUAAUGCCUAGGAAUCUGCCUGGUAGUGGGGGAUAACGUCCGGAAACGGGCGCUAAUACCGCAUACGUCCUACGGGAGAAAGCAGGGGACCUUCGGGCCUUGCGCUAUCAGAUGAGCCUAGGUCGGAUUAGCUAGUUGGUGAGGUAAUGGCUCACCAAGGCGACGAUCCGUAACUGGUCUGAGAGGAUGAUCAGUCACACUGGAACUGAGACACGGUCCAGACUCCUACGGGAGGCAGCAGUGGGGAAUAUUGGACAGUGGGCGAAAGCCUGAUCCAGCCAUGCCGCGUGUGUGAAGAAGGUCUUCGGAUUGUAAAGCACUUUAAGUUGGGAGGAAGGGCAGUAAGUUAAUACCUUGCUGUUUUGACGUUACCGACAGAAUAAGCACCGGCUAACUUCGUGCCAGCCGCCGCCGUAAUAC
rnacentral:rRNA from 1 species